rnacentral:pre_miRNA from 1 species
ACCAAUACGAUGGCACUGUCUUGUGUAUUAUGACCCUGAGAAAGUGCUUUCUUGUAUUGGCGU